UACGUAGGCAGCAAGCGUUGUUCGGAGUUACUGGGCGUAAAGGGAGCGUAGGCGGCCUUGUAAGUCAGUGGUGAAAUCUUUCCGCUUAACGGAAAAACUGCCAUUGAUACUGCUUGGCUUGAGUACAGAUGCUGUGGGCGGAAUAUGACAUGUAGUGGUGAAAUACAUAGAGAUGUCAUAGAACACCGAUUGCGAAGGCAGCUCACAAAACUGUAACCGACGCUGAGGCUCGAAAGCGUGGGGAGCAAACAGG
rnacentral:rRNA from 1 species